rnacentral:misc_RNA from 1 species
GAUGAAGAACGUAGCGAAAUGCGAUAAGUAAUGUGAAUUGCAGAAUUCAGUGAAUCAUCGAAUCUUUGAACGCACAUUGCGCCCCCUGGUAUUCCGGGGGGCAUGCCUGUCCGAGCGUCAUUACAACCCUCAAGCUCAGCUUGGUGUUGGGCCCCGCCGCCCCGGCGGGCCCUAAAGUCAGUGGCGGUGCCGUCCGGCUCCGAGCGUAGUAAUUCUUCUCGCUCUGGAGGUCCGGUCGUGUGCUCGCCAGCAACCCCCAAUUUUUUUCAGGUUGACCUCGGAUCAGGUAGGGAUACCCGCUGAACUUAAGCAUAGCAAUAAGCGGAGGA